GGGCCCGUGGCCUAGCUUGGAUAGGGCAUCGGCCUUCUAACCGCGGAGUGGAAAGCCGAGAGGCGUGGGUUCAAAUCCCUCCGGGCCCG
rnacentral:tRNA from 1 species